UCGAACGCGAAAGUCCCCUUCGGGGGGCGAGUAGAGUGGCGCCCGGGUGAGUAACACGUAGGUAAUCUACCUUUGGGUGGGGAAUAACGCAGGGAAACUUGCGCUAAUACCGCAUAAUGCAGCGGCACCACAUGGUGACAGUUGUUAAAGCGGGGGAUUUUAGGACCUCGCGCCUAAAGAGGAGCCUGCGGCAGAUUAGCUCGUUGGUAAGGUAACGGCUUACCAAGGCGACGAUCUGUAGCCGGCCUGAGAGGGCGGUCGGCCACACUGACACUGACAUACGGGUCAGACUCCUACGGGAGGCAGCAGUCGGGAAUUUUGGGCAAUGGGCGAAAGCCUGACCCAGCAACGCCGCGUGAAGGAUGAAAUCCUUCGGGAUGUAAACUUCGCAAGAAUGGGAAGAAUUAGCGAACGUUAAUACCGUUCGUGAUGACGGUACCAUUUGUAAGCUCCGGCUAACUCCGUGCCAGCAGCCGCGGUAAUACGGGGGGAGCAAGCGUUGUUCGGAUUUACUGGGCGUAAAGGGCGCGUAGGCGGUCAGCACAAGUCAGUUGUGAAAUCUCCGGGCUUAACUCGGAAAGGUCAACUGAUACUGUGCGACUAGAGUGCGGAAGGGGCAACUGGAAUUCUCGGUGUAGCGGUGAAAUGCGUAGAUAUCGAGAGGAACACCUGCGGCGAAGGCGGGUUGCUGGGCCGACACUGACGCUGAUGCGCGAAAGCCAG
rnacentral:rRNA from 1 species